rnacentral:other from 2 species
UGUGCCCUGCUGUGCUCGCGAUGCUGCACCUCCGUUCUGAGCCAACACCCACAAUAAGGGAUCCAAUCUCGCGACAAGGAUGCGAUAGGCUUCGGCCAAGGCUGACUUGCCGGGUAGGAGCCCGACCUGCGAAAGCAGGUUCAGAACCUUGCAACACACGGCAUAAGCGGGGUAUUC